rnacentral:rRNA from 1 species
UUCCGGUUGAUCCCGCCGGACCCGACCGCUAUCGGGGUGAGGCUAAGCCAUGGGAGUCGCACGCCCCGAUUACCGGGGCGUGGCGGACGGCUGAGUAAUACGUGGCUAACCUAACCUUGGGUCUCGGAUAACCCCGGGAAACUGGGGCUAAUCCGGGGCAGAUAAGGAGAUCUGGAACGACUCCCUAUCUAAAGGCCUCUCGGCUGAUCCCGUCGAGAGGUGCCCAAGGAUGGGGCUGCGGCCCAUCAGGCUGUUGGGGGAGUAAAGGUCCCCCAAGCCGAUAACGGGUAGGGGCCGUGAUAGCGGGAGCCCCCAGUUGGGCACUGAGACAAGGGCCCAGGCCCUACGGGGCGCACCAGGCGCGAAACGACCCCAAUGCGCGAAAGCGUGAGGGCGUUACCCCGAGUGCUCCCGCAAGGGAGCUUUUCCUCACUCUAAAAAGGUGAGGGAAUAAGCGGGGGGCAAGUCUGGUGUCAGCCGCCGCGGUAAUACCAGC